GUCCAUGGCCAUGCCACCCUGAACAAGCCUGAUGUCUGAUCUCAGAAGCUGAGCAGGGUCAGGCCUGGUUAGCACUUGGAUGGGAGACCACCUAGGAAGACCAGGUGCUGCAGGCA
rnacentral:rRNA from 1 species